rnacentral:rRNA from 1 species
AAUGGAGGAAACUCUGAUGCAGCGAUGCCGCGUGAGUGAAGAAGGCCCUUGGGUUGUAAAGCUCUUUCGUCGGGGAAGAAAAUGACUGUACCCGAAUAAGAAGGUCCGGCUAACUUCGUGCCAGCAGCCGCGGUAAUACGAAGGGACCUAGCGUAGUUCGGAAUUACUGGGCUUAAAGAGUUCGUAGGUGGUUGAAAAAGUUGGUGGUGAAAUCCCAGAGCUUAACUCUGGAACUGCCAUCAAAACUUUUCAGCUAGAGUAUGAUAGAGGAAAGCAGAAUUUCUAGUGUAGAGGUGAAAUUCGUAGAUAUAGAAAGAAUACCAAUUGCGAAGGCAGCUUUCUGGAUCAUUACUGACACUGAGGAACGGAAGCAUGGGUAGCGAAGAGGAUU